rnacentral:rRNA from 1 species
UACGUAGGGGGCAAGCGUUGUCCGGAAUUAUUGGGCGUAAAGAGCGUGUAGGCGGCCAGAUAAGUCCGCUGUGAAAUCUCGAGGCUCAACUUCGAGCUGUCGGUGGAAACUAUCUGGCUAGAGUCCGGAAGAGGAGAAUGGAAUUCCUGGUGUAGCGGUGAAAUGCGCAGAUAUCAGGAAGAACACCCGUGGCGAAGGCGGUUCUCUGGGACGGUACUGACGCUGAGACGCGAAAGCCAGGGGAGCAAACGGG